CGGAAUUCUCAGUUUCUUUUUCUUGGAGAGUAAGCUGCUCCCCGUUUGGGGAUUCUAGGGUUUCAUGGAGGCGGAGAACCCCGUGUAAUUUAGAGCCGGAAUCAUCUCUAGCCUUGAGAAUUUCAUGUGCCAUAGCAGUCUGCGAUCGAGCUCGGCGACAAAGUCAAUUUCAUUAUCGGCCAGUGUGGAAGUUUGCAGCUAAGAAGAUCCAAGCAGGGGAGGGGGAGGGGGGUGUUUGAAGUAUUUUUCAUAUUCUUUUGCUGAUUGUUGUUCGAUUUUGAUACUUUUUAUUCAGGUGGAAGAGCGAUUCUGAUGCCAUUUUACCUGCCGUUUGGUUGCCAAGCCAUGGGCAUGUUGAGGCCUCCGUCUCUCAAAGGUUUCACCAAGAAUGGUUUAAUGCUGCUAUUUUUGUGGAAAUUAAAAAAACCAAUGGGAAAAGGCUCUCAAGCAUGAAACUUAUGGUAAUCUAAUAAUAUUUAAGCGCAAGAUCACUGAGAGUACCUAGCGCCACUAAUUUGAAGGACUAUCAAGGACGAAGGUUGCGACUGAGCUUGUGGAAUAUUUUAAUAAUUCAUGGCUACACUGGAGAUUCCUUUCAGCAACAUUGUGUAGACAACUACAGCAAAACGAGGUU